rnacentral:rRNA from 1 species
UAAGCGGCGGACGGGUGAGUAACGCGUGGGUAACCUACCCUGUACACACGGAUAACAUACCGAAAGGUAUGCUAAUACGGGAUAAUAUAUUUGAGAGGCAUCUCUUAAAUAUCAAAGGUGAGCCAGUACAGGAUGGACCCGCGUCUGAUUAGCUAGUUGGUAAGGUAACGGUUUACCAAGGCGACGAUCAGUAGCCGACCUGAGAGGGUGAUCGGCCACAUUGGAACUGAGACACGGUCCAA